GGCUCUUGGGAAUCUCUCCUCGCUCUGGGAGAGAGCUGGGAGGGAACAAACCCAGAAUGGGGAGCAGGGACAGCAGAGCACAGUGCCUUGGACGGCUGACGUGGCCCUGCCGAGCCCCGGGCGCUGUGAGGGGAUCCUGUGACGGUGACCCGGCCGGAGCUGGUGAGCUGUGGACAGGCUGUUUCCCAGCAAUCCACUUACCUCUCUGUGAACACAAAUGCUUAACCAAAAACCUAGUCUGGGUGGAAUUUGGAGAGAACCUGAAACGAGUCUGGAAGAUUGCAGAUGCUGUUUCCAAAUCACAGAAUAUUCUGUACUGGAAAGGACCCACAAGGACAGUCAAGCCCAACUCCUAAGUGAAUGUUUUUUUAUAAAACUUCUCUCCAAAUUAAGAUAACACACCGUGUCUUGAAAAUUCUCCAACGCCCAACAUACUGUUCAAGAACAUUAGAGAACUUCUGGGUGAGCUAAAGCCACUGCUCUCUGAGUGCCAGCUGGGAUACAGCAGCUCUUUUGUCCACAAAAAACACAUACAUGUCAUCAGAUGAUGUUAUUAAAUUAGCCAAACUCUUUUCAUUGA